UAUCUGGUGACCACAUUGGUUUUAUAAAAACACAUUUCAAUUUACAAUUAAGGUUACACUUUAUUUUAAGUUGUCCUUGUUACAGUGUAACUAUACAAUUAAGUACUGAGUAACAACAUGUACUUACUAUAUAAUUCGGUUUAGGGUGAAUUGAAUGUAAUUAUGCAUAAUUUACUGUUAUUACUACAGUAAGUUCAUGCAACAUAAAAUGACAAUAAACCAAUGUGUUAGAGGAAAAUAAAAUAAGAGGUAAGUCAAAUAAGGAAAGUUAAGUGCAACUUCGUGAUAAUGAACUGCUGAACUUGCAUGAUUCUACACUAACUUAUAAAAAAGAUAAUUCAUUGGACAUGAAUUGAUUUAUUUGUAGAUAAUGGGAUGUAUAUAAUGCGAGAAGAAAUAGAAUGCCACAUGUGUCAUUUAGUAUCAACCCUGUAGUUAUUUAGCACAUGUGUUGAGGAACAUAAAGUUUUAUGAGGCCCCAGAAGUCUCUUUUUUGGAUGACCCCUAGAGGAGGUGCCACUGCGGACAAAACCGUUUAAAAGCUCAGUGGAGAACUUACGUGUCUUCUGUCUAUGAGCUGUUCCCUGUAUGCUUUGGGUUAGGUUUUCUGUCUCUUUCUGUUUUCCUUGUUUUUUUCCACCUGUAGAUAUAUCCACAAUGUUGAAAUGGACACUUCUAAGGAUGAUGUUAUUGCUCUGGAUGACAAAAGUAACACUUCAGGGUGGCACAGGGUACCAACCUCAAAAUCCAAAUGGCGGUGCAAUACAAAUGUCACCAGGAGGUUAUCCUGUAAACAAAGGUGCUUAUGGAAGUGCACAACAAAAGCCUGGAUAUGGAGGUCAUCCCCAAUAUGGUA